rnacentral:rRNA from 1 species
CCUGAAACCGUGUACGUACAAGCAGUGGGAGCCUCUUAAUGGGGUGACUGCGUACCUUUUGUAUAAUGGGUCAGCGACUUAUAUUCUGUAGCAAGGUUAACCGAAUAGGGGAGCCGAAGGGAAACCGAGUCUUAACUGGGCGUUAAGUUGCAGGGUAUAGACCCGAAACCCGGUGAUCUAGCCAUGGGCAGGUUGAAGGUUGGGUAACACUAACUGGAGGACCGAACCGACUAAUGUUGAAAAAUUAGCGGAUGACUUGUGGCUGGGGGUGAAAGGCCAAUCAAACCGGGAGAUAGCUGGUUCUCCCCGAAAGCUAUUUAGGUAGCGCCUCGUGAAUUCAUCUCCGGGGGUAGAGCACUGUUUCGGCAAGGGGGUCAUCCCGACUUACCAACCCGAUGCAAACUGCGAAUACCGGAGAAUGUUAUCACGGGAGACACACGGCGGGUGCUAACGUCCGUCGUGAAGAGGGAAACAACCCAGACCGCCAGCUAAGGUCCCAAAGUCAUGGUUAAGUGGGAAACGAUGUGGGAAGGCCCAGACAGCCAGGAUGUUGGCUUAGAAGCAGCCAUCAUUUAAAGAAAGCGUAAUAGCUCACUGGUCGAGUCGGCCUGCGCGGAAGAUGUAACGGGGCUAAACCAUGCACCGAAGCUGCGGCAGCGACACUAUGUGUUGUUGGGUAGGGGAGCGUUCUGUAAGCCUGUGAAGGUGGCCUGUGAGGGUUGCUGGAGGUAUCAGAAGUGCGAAUGCUGACAUAAGUAACGAUAAAGCGGGUGAAAAGCCCGCUCGCCGGAAGACCAAGGGUUCCUGUCCAACGUUAAUCGGGGCAGGGUGAGUCGACCCCUAAGGCGAGGCCGAAAGGCGUAGUCGAUGGGAAACAGGUUAAUAUUCCUGUACUUGGUGUUACUGCGAAGGGGGGACGGAGAAGGCUAUGUUGGCCGGGCGACGGUUGUCCCGGUUUAAGCGUGUAGGCUGGUUUUCCAGGCAAAUCCGGAAAACC